rnacentral:rRNA from 1 species
GACAGAGGCCUCGAGCGUUAGGCGGAAUCACUGGGCGUAAAGCGCACGUAGGCGGAUUGUUAAGUCAGGGGUGAAAUCCUGGAGCUCAACUCCAGAACUGCCUUUGAUACUGGCGAUCUCGAGUCCGGGAGAGGUGAGUGGAACUGCGAGUGUAGAGGUGAAAUUCGUAGAUAUUCGCAAGAACACCAGUGGCGAAGGCGGCUCGCUGGCCCGGUACUGACGCUGAGGUGCGAAAGCGUGGGGAGCAAACGGG